rnacentral:rRNA from 1 species
UACGUAGGUGGCAAGCGUUGUCCGGAAUUACUGGGCGUAAAGAGCGCGUAGGUGGUUUGUCGCGUCGUCCGUGAAAACUCACAGCUCAACUGUGGGCGUGCGGGCGAUACGGGCAGACUGGAGUGCUGCAGGGGAGACUGGAAUUCCUGGUGUAGCGGUGGAAUGCGCAGAUAUCAGGAGGAACACCGGUGGCGAAGGCGGUUCUCUGGGCCUUACCUGACGCUGAGGAGCGAAAGCGUGGGGAGCGAACAGG